rnacentral:lncRNA from 1 species
AACAUUAAUGUCCACAAAGUUCUUCUGAUUAGGGAACAUGAUGAUUCCAUAGAUGCUCACUGCAAUCAAAGCACAAACGACCCUCCAAUUACCCACAACAGCAUGCUCAUUGGCCUUAGCCUCCAAGAAACUCAGAUGAAAACCGGGCAACUUUCCCUUCUCCUUCAAACCCCCCUUAGUCACUUCUGUGCUCAAAGGCCCCAACAGGUAAUCCGGGAAAAC